rnacentral:rRNA from 1 species
GCCUAUACAUGCAAGUCGAACGAACUCUGGUAUUGAUUGGUGCUUGCAUCAUGAUUUACAUUUGAGUGAGUGGCGAACUGGUGAGUAACACGUGGGAAACCUGCCCAGAAGCGGGGGAUAACACCUGGAAACAGAUGCUAAUACCGCAUAACAACUUGGACCGCAUGGUCCGAGCUUGAAAGAUGGCUUCGGCUAUCACUUUUGGAUGGUCCCGCGGCGUAUUAGCUAGAUGGUGGGGUAACGGCUCACCAUGGCAAUGAUACGUAGCCGACCUGAGAGGGUAAUCGGCCACAUUGGGACUGAGACACGGCCCAAACUCCUACGGGAGGCAGCAGUAGGGAAUCUUCCACAAUGGACGAAAGUCUGAUGGAGCAACGCCGCGUGAGUGAAGAAGGGUUUCGGCUCGUAAAACUCUGUUGUUAAAGAAGAACAUAUCUGAGAGUAACUGUUCAGGUAUUGACGGUAUUUAACCAGAAAGCCACGGCUAACUACGUGCCAGCAGCCGCGGUAAUACGUAGGUGGCAAGCGUUGUCCGGAUUUAUUGGGCGUAAAGCGAGCGCAGGCGGUUUUUUAAGUCUGAUGUGAAAGCCUUCGGCUCAACCGAAGAAGUGCAUCGGAAACUGGGAAACUUGAGUGCAGAAGAGGACAGUGGAACUCCAUGUGUAGCGGUGAAAUGCGUAGAUAUAUGGAAGAACACCAGUGGCGAAGGCGGCUGUCUGGUCUGUAACUGACGCUGAGGCUCGAAAGUAUGGGUAGCAAACAGGAUUAGAUACCCUGGUAGUCCAUACCGUAAACGAUGAAUGCUAAGUGUUGGAGGGUUUCCGCCCUUCAGUGCUGCAGCUAACGCAUUAAGCAUUCCGCCUGGGGAGUACGGCCGCAAGGCUGAAACUCAAAGGAAUUGACGGGGGCCCGCACAAGCGGUGGAGCAUGUGGUUUAAUUCGAAGCUACGCGAAGAACCUUACCAGGUCUUGACAUACUAUGCAAAUCUAAGAGAUUAGACGUUCCCUUCGGGGACAUGGAUACAGGUGGUGCAUGGUUGUCGUCAGCUCGUGUCGUGAGAUGUUGGGUUAAGUCCCGCAACGAGCGCAACCCUUAUUAUCAGUUGCCAGCAUUAAGUUGGGCACUCUGGUGAGACUGCCGGUGACAAACCGGAGGAAGGUGGGGAUGACGUCAAAUCAUCAUGCCCCUUAUGACCUGGGCUACACACGUGCUACAAUGGAUGGUACAACGAGUUGCGAACUCGCGAGAGUAAGCUAAUCUCUUAAAGCCAUUCUCAGUUCGGAUUGUAGGCUGCAACUCGCCUACAUGAAGUCGGAAUCGCUAGUAAUCGCGGAUCAGCAUGCCGCGGUGAAUACGUUCCCGGGCCUUGUACACACCGCCCGUCACACCAUGAGAGUUUGUAACACCCAAAGUCGGUGGGGUAACCUUUUAGGAACCAGCCGCCU